rnacentral:rRNA from 1 species
GAUUAGAGUUUGAUCCUGGCUCAGGAUAAACGCUGGCGGCGUGCCUAAUGCAUGCAAGUCGCACGGAUCACCCUUUCGGGGGUGGUGAGUGGCGAACGGGUGAGGAACGCGUGGAGAACCUACCCCGGCGUGGGGGAUACCCGCCAGAAAUGGCGGCUAAUACCGCGUACGGUUGCCUGCCGACAGGGUGGGCAAAGAAAGCCGAGAGGCGCGCUGGGAGGGGUCUGCGCCCGAUUAGCUGGUUGGUGGGGUAACGGCUCACCAAGGCGAUGAUCGGUAGCGGGUCUGAGAGGAUGAUCCGCCACACGGGGACUGAGAGACGGCCCCGACUCCUACGGGAGGCAGCAGCAAGGAAUUUUCCGCAAUGGGGGCAACCCUGACGGAGCAACGCCGCGUGCCGGAUGACGCCUCUUGGGGUGUAAACGGCUUUUGCCGGGGAAGAGUAGGGACGGUACCCGGCGAAUCAGGACCGGCUAACUACGUGCCAGCAGCCGCGGUAAUACGUAGGGUCCGAGCGUUGUCCGGAAUUACUGGGCGUAAAGCGUGCGCAGGCGGCUUCUUAGGCAUGACGUGAAAGCCCCGGGCUCAACCCGGGAGGGUCGUCGUGAACCGGGGGGCUUGAGGCCGGUAGAGGUGGGUGGAACUCCUGGUGGAGUGGUGAAAUGCGUAGAGAUCAGGAAGAACACCCGUGGCGAAGGCGGCCCACUGGGCCGGUACUGACGCUGAGGCACGAAGGCGUGGGGAGCGAACGGGAUUAGAUACCCCGGUAGUCCACGCAGUAAACGAUGUCGACUCGGUGUGGGCGGUCUUGACCCCGUCCGCGCCACAGCUAACGCGAGAAGUCGACCGCCUGGGGAGUACGGCCGCAAGGCUAAAACUCAAAGGAAUUGACGGGGGCCCGCACAAGCAGCGGAGCGUGUGGUUUAAUUCGACGCGACGCGCAGAACCUUACCAGGGCUUGACAUGCGGAGUUCAGUGGGUGAAAGCCCAUGGCCGCAAGGCGAUCCGCACAGAUGCCGCAUGGCUGUCGUCAGCUCGUGUCGUGAGAUGUUGGGUUAAGUCCCGCAACGAGCGCAACCCCUGUGAGCAGUUGUAUGUUUCUGCUCAGACUGCCGCUGUUAAUGCGGAGGAAGGCGGGGAUGACGUCAAGUCCGCAUGGCUCUUACGCCCUGGGCGACACACACGCUACAAUGGCCGGGACAGAGGGUUGCCAACCGGCGACGGGGAGCCAAUCCCACAAACCCGGUCUCAGUUCAGAUGGGGGGCUGCAACCCGCCCCCCUGAAGGUGGAGUUGCUAGUAACCGUGGGUCAGCCAUACCGCGGUGAAUGUGUUCCCGGGCCUUGUACACACCGCCCGUCACGUCGUGGAAGCUGGCAACACUUGAAGCCGGUGCCCGAACCCGCGAGGGGCGGAGCCGUCGAGGGUGGGGCUGGUGACUGGGACGAAGUCGUAACAAGGUAGCCGUAAAU